GAGGGGAUGGAGGACACCAGGAGAACAAGGCCUUCUACAUCAACUUGAGCACAGUUCAUAUGAACCCAGAGACUGAAAGAGGAAGCACAGGACCUGCGAAGGUCUACUAUGAUUGAGAAAAAAAAUAACCAGACUGUAUGGCCUGACUGUGGCUUUGAUGUCCUCAUUCAUCCUUUCUGAAGAGAAAGGCAUUUGUACCACAGGAACCUGACAGCAAUUGUUCUGAUUCAUGGCUUAGGAGGAGCAGCUGAUUAAUCCCUUGUCAGCAGUCUUGACCCUGUGUGGAAAAUAGAAUCUUCGAAGGCCUACUCACCAAUAUAUCAGGAGCAAGGCAGCAUGGCUUAGAUCGCUCUUAAAUUCAAGGAAAGUUUAAGACAAUGCCAAGCAGCAAUCCUGAUCUUAGAAAUGCUUUAUAGGAACAUUCUGAGACAGAACAGGAACAUACCAGGGAGAAGAGUUGAACAAUUGUGGUUUUCUUCCCUAGAAUAAACAUCCUACAUUUUUGAUCCUCCACAAAAAUACUUUUAAAAAUCACUAUUUUCUUUAUCAUAACUAUUGUGGUCUGUUUUGAUAUGAUAUAGCAUGUUUUGGGAAUUUUAAAUCAUUCCAUUUCCUUUCUUCUUCAAUGAGUAUAGACACUAUGAACAUAGAACUCUAAUUUGUACAUAGUAUAAAAUAAUUGCAAAUAACUUCUAUUUCUAGAAUCAUCUUUAUGUGAUACAUUCAGCUGUGAAGAAUAUGUAUACUAUAUAGUUUAAAACAGAAAUGUUUCUACUGAAAACCAUUUUAGUUCUUUAAAUGACAAAAGCCUUAAACUGAAUACAUUGCUACUUUUAAUCAAGAAAAAAUAUUUUAGUAAUGUAAAAUGUGGUCUCAGAACAUAUGAUUAAAAUACAGAGAUGAAGUGGGAUAAUGCCCUCCCUCCCUUUUUUCCAAAGAGGACCAUGUACAUGAAUCCAAUAUUUAUGAAUUUUAUUUACAACCACAAAGCAGACUGAAAAUCUGUCAAAUGAUGUGAAAUCCUAAAAGAUGCAGGGUGUUAAGAGAUGGUGGCCACCAAAGACAAACCAAGUCUCAAAAUUAAAACUAUGCACAAUUAAUAAGCAUACACAUGAAAGACAGACAGAGAGAGAGAGAGAGAGAGAGAGAGAGAGAGAGAGCAUGAGACCCAUCUAUGAUAACCAGAGGAAGCUGAAAUGUGUUGAAACCUUUCCCUUGUAAACUGCAUAAUAGCACUUUCAAUGUUCCCUUUCUGUCAUCCCCUGUAACCAUCAAGUUCGGGUUCUGCUGCUGCAGUCAGGUGCAUGGGCACGGAGCUCUUACGGUUGGCUGCAUAGAAUUCUGAGGAAAGCCACAUCUGUACCAUUUUUUUCUCUUGGACAGUAAUAAAUAACAAUUUUCAUUUAGAUUUUUUUCCCUGAGUACAUUUACAGCAAGUUAUUCAGGUUUUUUUUUUCUUAUCCUCUUAAAGCAUAGGUUUAAUUUUGAGUGCGUCUUUCAUUGUGAGAGUGUAAACCUUUGAUCGAGUGACAUUUGCAUUUCAUUAUAGGGAAGUGCUUUACAUUGUCUUCAUGUGCACCACCCAAUUCCAUGUAUCAUCUUGGUUUGUGCUAGUCACUAUUUAAAACACUGGCUAUUAAGUGUGGCUUUGUGGACAGAAUCUGUAUGUUCUGUGCAGUACAAAACAGAAAAGAACAAGGAAAAAUUCAAAAUGAAUAGCUCAUUUGAAAGAAAUAUAGUUAGUUUUCAUAUGAUUGUUUUCAAUAUAGUAUUCUCAGCGACAGAAUGCAAUGUCAUCAUCUAAAAUGUAACAUGUUCAGAUCGGCCGUAUCUCAUCAUUUAUUUCUUUUGUAAAAGAGCAAAUGGGAUGUAUUUUUAGGUGUUUCUUUGUGCAAGUGCCUAGCAAAUCCUGUUGGGAUAGCAUUAGAAAUAAUAAUGAAAUGAGCUGUAGGUAAUGGUAUAACUCUCAGAAAGUUUUUAAAUAUGAGGCUGUGAAAAUGUGUCCUUUGAAGGAUCAGCAAGCCUGUGGCAUUGUCAGUGAUAAUGGAAAGAAUUGAUAAGGCUUCUGUGCUUUUGAUCUUUAUCAGGUUUGCAAUGAUUCCUAUUUUAUAAGGUAACAUAUUUUUAGCCUUGUUGCAGAGAGAAAUGUUCUGUUUUCCCUCAGAAAGCUGGCAGAAAACCAUUUUCCG
ensembl:lincRNA Gm30340 predicted gene, 30340